AGCGAACGCUGGCGGCAGGCCUAACACAUGCAAGUCGAACGAACCUUUCGGGGUUAGUGGCGGACGGGUGAGUAACACGUGGGAACGUGCCUUUAGGUUCGGAAUAACUCAGGGAAACUUGUGCUAAUACCGAAUGUGCCCUUCGGGGGAAAGAUUAAUCGCCUUUAGAGCGGCCCGCGUCUGAUUAGCUAGUUGGUUGAGGUAAUGGCUCACCAAGGCGACGAUCAGUAGCUGGUCUGAGAGGAUGAUCAGCCACAUUGGGACUGAGACACGGCCCAAACUCCUACGGGAGGCAGCGGUGGGGAAUCUUGCGCAAUGGGCGAAAGCCUGACGCAGCCAUGCCGCGUGAAUGAUGAAGGUCUUAGGAUUGUAAAAUUCUUUCACCGGGGACGAUAAUGACGGUACCCGGAGAAGAAGCCCCGGCUAACUUCGUG
rnacentral:rRNA from 1 species